CACGUAGGGUGCGAGCGUUGUCCGGAAUUAUUGGGCGUACAGAGCUCGUAGGCGGUGUGUCGCGUCUGCCGUGAAAACCUGCAGCUUAACUGUGGGCUUGCGGUCGAUACGGGCAUCACUGGAGUUCGGCAGGGGAGACUGGAAUUCCUGGUGUAGCGGUGAAAUGCGCAGAUAUCAGGAGGAACACCGGUGGCGAAGGCGGGUCUCUGGGCCGAUACUGACGCUGAGGAGCGAAAGCGUGGGGAGCGAACAGG
rnacentral:rRNA from 1 species